GAACAAGUCCAAAUACUAUGUUGAGCUAAAUUUUGACUUGAAGCGGUACUAAAGAGCAAAAUGCAUAAAAGUAGUUUUAUUUAAAUUUAUAAUAUGAUCAAAUCGGAUACAGGGAACUGAUCAAUCCAAAGUUGAACGUAAAUAUAAAACUCAAAAAAAUUAUCAGAGACAUCUACACUUUCUUGAGUUUGUCUACUGACUUGAAUUGACUCGGUUAUACUCCACUAGCUGCAUGUAACAUGAGCAAUCUAAUUCAAUAAAAUCGAUCACUUAAUUGAGUAGAUACUGUGAUUACAUAAUAUUGGUUGUUGUAAAAUCGAUAACUCUUUUCAUAAAGUAGAAAAGAAAAUGGGUGUAACUAAUUGAGUUGAAUAAUUACCUCUCCUAUGCCUGAAGAAGCGCCAGUUAUCAGGACUACCUUGCCAGUAACAUCCUCACUAAAAAUGAAGUUGAAAACAGAGCUAAAGCCCUUGUAAAUAAGAUAAGGUGGCAACAAAAAGCAUAGUGAGAAGAAGGUAAAUGGAGGGGCUACUAAGUUUAAGAACGUGUUGAUGAGAUCCAUUAUAUGUUCAACAUACAGAUAUGUAAG
rnacentral:lncRNA from 1 species